CUUGUUAAAAAGCAGAUUCU
rnacentral:miRNA from 1 species